GAUGAAGAACGUAGUGAAAUGCGAUAAGUAAUGUGAAUUGCAGAAUUCAGUGAAUCAUCGAAUCUUUGAACGCACAUUGCGCCCGCCAGUAUUCUGGCGGGCAUGCCUGUCUGAGCGUCAUUUCAACCCUCAUGCCCCUAGGGCGUGGUGUUGGGGAUCGGCCAAAGCCCGCGAGGGACGGCCGGCCCCUAAAUCUAGUGGCGGACCCGUCGUGGCCUCCUCUGCGAAGUAGUGAUAUUCCGCAUCGGAGAGCGACGAGCCCCUGCCGUUAAACCCCCAACUUUCCAAGGUUGACCUCAGAUCAGGUAGGAAUACCCGCUGAACUUAGGCAUAUCAAUAAGCGGAGGA
rnacentral:misc_RNA from 1 species